rnacentral:rRNA from 1 species
CGCACGGGUGAGUAACGCGUAUGCAACCUACCUUUAACAGGAGGAUAGCCCCGAGAAAUCGGGAUUAAUACUCCAUAAAAUAUUGUUAUCGCAUGGUAAUAAUAUUAAAGCUCCGGCGGUUAAAGAUGGGCAUGCGUGACAUUAGUUAGUUGGUGAGGUAACGGCUCACCAAGACAGCGAUGUCUAGGGGUUCUGAGAGGAUUAUCCCCCACACUGGUACUGAGACACGGACCAG